AGGUGCUGCAUGGUUGUCGUCAGCUCGUGCCGUGAGGUGUCGGCUUAAGUGCCAUAACGAGCGCAACCCUUGCCAUUAGUUGCCAUCAGGUAAUGCUGGGGACUCUGUCGGUACUGCCAUCGUAAGAUGUGAGGAAGGUGGGGAUGACGUCAAAUCAGCACGGCCCUUACGUCCGGGGCUACACACGUGUUACAAUGGGAGGUACAGAAGGCCGCUACCCGGCGACGGGAUGCCAAUCCCCAAAACCUCUCUCAGUUCGGAUUGGAGUCUGCAACCCGACUCCAUGAAGCUGGAUUCGCUAGUAAUCGCGCAUCAGCCACGGCGCG
rnacentral:rRNA from 1 species